AAACAGCAACACUCUCCCUUCUUUCUCCAUCUCUCAAUUUUCUCUGCAAUCCAAUCUUCUUCCACUCUCUCAUCUCUGUGCUGCCAUCUCACUGUUUCAACUUUUUCAUACUCAGACUCUGGAAGAAUCAGCCAACAGGACCCUCCGCAGUUCCUCUCUCAGCCUCCAUCCUCUUAGGUCAAACUGAAAAUUCUGCUGUCUUGCCAUUUUCUUGACUCCACCAAGUGAAUUCUUGACAAAUAGAUAAAAGUGCAGGUGAAGGUACACCCUUCUUAGACAAGCGUUGAAGGGGUUUCCAGGACGUUUUCCAGCAGUAGUAGUUACAUGUUUCUUUAGUAGAUGCUUAGGAUGUUUUGUAACCCUUUAGUGGUGUAUGGGCUGUAUAUGUUGAUCAGCGUAUAUAUGGUUAUUUUUUAGGAUGACUGUAUUAUAUAUUAUACUGGUCUAUGUCAUCAUCUGCUUCUGAACUAUUAAAAUUUAAAUGUUUUUUUAAUAGUUUAAAAACUAUGAAAACGGGAUGUUAAAAUUUUA